rnacentral:rRNA from 1 species
AGCGAACGCUGGCGGCAGGCUUAACACAUGCAAGUCGAGCGGGCACUUUCGGGUGUCAGCGGCGGACGGGUGAGUAACGCGUGGGAACGUGCCCUCUGGUUCGGAAUAACUCAGGGAAACUUGAGCUAAUACCGGAUACGCCCUUUUGGGGUAAGGCUUGCUGCCGGAGGAUCGGCCCGCGUCUGAUUAGCUAGUUGGUGAGGUAACGGCUCACCAAGGCGACGAUCAGUAGCUGGUCUGAGAGGAUGAUCAGCCACACUGGGACUGAGACACGGCCCAGACUCCUACGGGAGGCAGCAGUGGGGAAUAUUGGACCAGGGGCGCAAGCCUGAUCCAGCCAUGCCGCGUGAGUGAUGAAGGCCUUAGGGUUGUAAAGCUCUUUUAUCCGGGACGAUAAUGACGGUACCGGAGGAAUAAGCCCCGGCUAACUUCGUG